GUAACCAACGAAUCCACCCCCCUCCCCCUCCCCCCUCCCUGCACGUGCCUUUACCACAGAGCAACGAUCGAGCUUAAAGGCAAAGUCAGUGAGUGACUUUGGUCUGUCAAAGUGACUGAAAGAGGCCGUGAGAAGAUCAAUCAUGCCACCACCAAAGGAUGCAGAGAUCGAGCAGGUUGCAAAGGUUUGGCUUUGGAAUGCACGGGACCGUUCAGGUGGACGGAAGCAUCGUCUCAUGCAGUCUCUUCCAAAAAAAUAGUUAAUUUAUGAUCUAUGCUAUAUUAAUGCAUAAACAAUAUUCCUUUUUGAUAUUAUGAUUAACUAUAUCUGUUCUAUUUAUGUAAAGUACAUCUAUUUUCUCCUUCAUUAUUAUUGCUGUGAGAUAAAAACCUUAAUGCAAAAACUAAUGUUAUAUUCAAUUAGAUUUUUUUUUACUGGUUUGAUUGGGAUGACAUUUUGGUUCCAAGUCUACAAGCAAGAGGAAUAAAAUUAAUAAUAGAGAUCAGGGGUGGGUUUCCUGAAAGCUUCGUUACGCUAAGAACUUCGUUAACUCGUACUUAAGAUUGAUCGUUAAUUAAAGAGUGUUUCCCAAACCCGUGCGUAACUAAAGUACUACUGUGGUGGAAAAUAAUGACAGGAAGAAAGAAAUUUUCAGAGU